rnacentral:lncRNA from 1 species
AAAAAUAAAAAAACUAAAUAGAAAAAGAACUGUUAGUCUACUAGUGAUUAAACCCAGCCGCAUGGCUGUUGGGUUUCUAUAGACUAAUAACUAGUAAAUUAAUAGGGAAGACAAACAAACAAAGUAUUAAUGUACACUAUUAAAUAAAAAAAGACAAACAAACAAGACAUUAAUGUACACUAUUAACUAAAAAAACAAAGAAAGACUACAAGUAUAAAUUUUUUUAAAUGGCUUUUAUGUGGUUUAAAUAAAUAAAAGAAAAGAAAAUAAAAAAAAUAAAAAUGGGAGGAAUAGUAAACUCAUCGUUCUCACUCCCUCAAUCUCAAAAUCGCUCGUCCCUAAACCUUUACUCUCUCCGUCCUCAUUCAUCACCUCUCAGGCUCUCUCUCACAAUUUCACUUCACAAAAUCGUUCUCC